rnacentral:tRNA from 3 species
UGGGCGCCAGGGUUCCGGCCACGGUGACUGUGCCGUUGGUGCCGGUGGUGACGAGGCGGGAAUAAUUGCCCGCGCCGGUUCCGGUGCCGGUGCCGUCGAU